rnacentral:rRNA from 1 species
CCUACGGGUGGCAGCAGUGAGGAAUAUUGGUCAAUGGGCGAGAGUCUGAACCAGCCAAGUAGCGUGAAGGAUGACUGCCCUAUGGGUUGUAAACUUCUUUUAUAUGGGAAUAAAAUGUUCCACGUGUGGGAUUUUGUAUGUACCAUAUGAAUAAGGAUCGGCUAACUCCGUGCCAGCAGCCGCGGUAAUACGGAGGAUGCGAGCGUUAUCCGGAUUUAUUGGGUUUAAAGGGUGCGUAGGCGGGACCUUAAGUCAGCGGUAAAAUUGCGGUGCUCAACGCCGUAGAGCCGUUGAAACUGGGGUUCUUGAGUGAGCGAGAAGUAUGCGGAAUGCGUGGUGUAGCGGUGAAAUGCAUAGAUAUCACGCAGAACCCCGAUUGCGAAGGCAGCAUACCGGCGCUCAACUGACGCUGAGGCACGAAAGUGCGGGUAUCGAACAGGAUUAGAUACCCGAGUAGUC